GGACACCAGUUUUAGUCCACUCACCUUAAUUUCUACUGUUAGUGGAAAUGUGCACGUCGAGGAGGCUCUGGAGAAAGCCUGGGAGGAGGCGAGGAGGGCUGUAGAGAAAGCGGCUAUUGUUUCAGAGAGUGUGUUGUGCACCAUGAGCAGAAUGUUACCAGAAAUAGCCUUGUUAAAGGCGCUGUGGAGAAGUCUCAGAGAAGCGAGGCCCUGUGCUUGGGAACUGGAGAAAAGUGAUCCUUGUUACAGUGACAGGACUUGGCUGACUUGCACUCUGGUCGACAGAAGCAGAGCUUGAAGCAAAGAAUUUGGAUACUUGCUUCCCGCGAUUUCUAAGCCAAGUGUGGAAAGUACAGUCUGGUUUUUCUUUGUUGCUUGUGAUAAAAAUGUGAGAAGAGAAAAAUAAAUUGAAGACUCCCAAGGAAAAGGAAACCAUCACUGCUUGGUUUCCAUGAUUCUCACCUUCUCCAGUGUUCUCUGGAAAGAGGACCAAUGGCUAGCUCAGCCAGCGUGAGAGACAGAGGGCCGUCUCUCUCAUGAAGUGUGAGUUGCACAGGAGACCAUCAUACUUUCUAGGGUACGCAUACCAGCUGAAACACGGACAUCCUGAACUUCAAGGGAGAGAGAUGAGAUGGAGAAAGGGCAGAGGCCAGUGGGGCUGCCAAUGCUGCUGUGCAGCCGGGAGAUACUGGCCCAGAGGUUGAGAGCCACCUCCUUUCUGAAAGCCGAGGGCGUGCCUGGGGUGAAGCUGAAACAUGAAGCUGGUCGUGUUGUCUGAACAUGGUGGAUCAAUCCCUCCUAGCAGAAAAAUUGGGCAAAAACUUUCUCUUAGGGUUAUACACACAGUGAAUUUCUGAUAGAGAAAUUUUACAUGUUUUAUAUAAUUUAAUCCUCACAGAAGCCUUGGACACCAGUUUUAUUCCACUCACCUUAAUGGCUUGGAGAUUAAGCAAAUUGCCUAAGAUUUCAUGACUGGAAAAUGGAAAAAUCAGGUUUUAAGACCAUAGCUGAUGUCAAGGUCUUUUGAGUUCAGAAGAAGAUGGGACUGUGUAACAGCAACAAAGAAUAAACAAAACUGGCCACACUCACUCGGAAUAAAAACAAUACACUUUACUUGCUACUCAUAUCACACAGCACGUGGGUAUGGGUGUGUGUGUGCCUCAAGUCUGAUGCACAAAACUACAGACCAAGCAUCCAGUAGUCCUUCCAGUGUGGAUGGGUUUUCAACCGUGUGUCUAGUCACCAUAGACCUUUUGUUCUCUGAGCCUGUUACCUAUAGCCAACUAGGGUCUGAAAAUAAUGAAGAGAAAAUUGCAUAAGCAUGUUGGUGCCCUGGAGUACGUGAAGGUCAGAAGAAAAUGUCGAGGAGCUGUUGCUGUCCUUUAUCUUCGUCAUGGGUCCCAGCCACCAGGCUUGCAUGGCAAGCAUGCACCUGCAGAGUCACUGGGCAGCACCGUUUCUGCUUUGUUUUAUCUAUUUUGUGAAUAGCUGACAACCAGGCUCUCUUGUUUCUGCUGUCUUCCAGUGCCAGGCCACUUGUAGGUUUUUGAAAAUCAACAGAGGCCCACCGUGAAGGAUCCUCUGCAGGCCCCUUGUUCUAACAGAGACCAUCUGACAGCUUUGUGAGGUCUCCAUGGUUUUGCUUGUGCUCAUCAUGGAUCUCUGCUGACCUAUACAGCACUUGGCACAUAGCGCAUGCUAAAUGAAAGACAAGAAUUUAGAAGAUAGCCCUAAUUGUAAAAAGCUAGCAAUACUGACAAUAUCAUGAGUCUGGGUUAGAAAGUCAGUAAUCCUAACAAAUUCAACUCUGUUCAACUUACAUCAGAAGAAAAUAUGUGUGGUGUGCUUAUAAUUAUGCAUGCUUCAUGAUCAAAUUGAUCCUGGUAGGAGAAGACUUCUGUUGGCCAAGUGUUGACCAACAGAAUGGAUCAGCUCACUCACUGUUGUACACAUCUUCUACAGAUGAAGAUUUCUUCUAGUUCUGACUCUACACUUCACACUCUUCUUCCCCCACUGUCUACCUGCAAGUUCCGCGAACUAAGUGGACACUUUAACUCAAGGCAUAGUCUCUUACGGUGCCGCUUUAGACCACGGACCACCCUUGUCUAUGCUUUGACUUCAGACUUUGAGCUCCACAGCCUGGAAAGAACAUCCUUCUGCUUUUUAAGCUGCUCAAUUAGUGCCAAUUAGUUGUGAGAACCCCCAGGUGCCUGCUAUUCCCUUCCAUUGUGCCCUUGACAAUAAGCAAACUUUACAUGGAACAGAGAACCAUAAAAAUACUGAGCUGAUGGGCUGGAGAGACAGCUCAGCAGUUGAGAGUGUGUACUGCACUUGUAGAGGACCAGCAUUUGGUUUCCAGUUCCCAGAUCAGGUGGCUCACAACUGCCUGUAACUCCAGCUUUGGGGGAGCCAACAUCUUGGCCUUUCAUGGACACUGCACUCUGUGCACACCUCCACAAACACACACACACAAAUAAUAAAAAUAAAUAUUAAAAAAAUUAAAUUAUACCCCUUCCCAGCCCGUGAGGAUUUAUGCACAGGAAAUGGUUGAUGAGGGAGGGGCAUUUUUUCACUGGUAUAGCUACCGGUAAGGUGCACAUUUGCCUAUAAACACCCCUGCUCACAUUUCUUUAAAUAAGCUCAAUCAAACUCAUGGGGCCACGAAAAAACACAUGAAAAUGGAAGACCAAAAAAAGAUGCAGAAUGUAGAAGUAGAGGAGAAGAGUAGGAGGGAAUACAACUGAAAUCAUGUAUGCGGAUGAAAGAGUCCUAAGAAAAUCCACCGUUGUAUGUAAUUAAUAUACGCUAUCAAAACACUUAAAGUUUGAAUUCUAGCUUCUAAUACACAUGUGAAGCAUAGCAUUAAAGUGUCUUCAAGUGUCUGGAACUAAUUUGGAUUGUUAAAAGUACCUGGUGAAGUUGAUCAUCUUCAACAAGUAAUUCCUUCCACAUUUUAUAUAUUAGAAACUUAAUAGAAGCUACAAAAUAAA